rnacentral:lncRNA from 1 species
GGGGGAGCAGAGGCGAGGAGGAGGGACCCCGGUGGGGAGCGCAGGAGUUCCUGCUGUGGUCUUUGCAGAGAGGCCAGAAUAAGAGAUAAGAAAGUCAAGGUGGAUGGAAAAGAAGGAAAACGGAUCAUUCCCGGCAACGUGGACUAUUCAAUACGGGAUACCAAUAUCCUAAGGACUACACGUUCCAGGAAUUCCCUGCGGGGUUCUCAGGACCUGCCGCUAGUGUUAAAAAGAUCAUUAAGAGCAGAACAUCUCUUCCUUCCCUGGAGCUCCUGCUAAUUUGUGUUUAAAGACCUAGACUCUAGCAGAGUUCAUCUUUACAGCGAGACCUGAGGCAAUCAACGCCCAUCCUUCCGUGGAGCAUGCCCAGCGUGGGGAAGUGUAGCUGUGGAGGAGGGCCCCACCCCUCCCGGACGUCACCUGCAGUACUGGGAGGAGAGUGAGGCCAGGGAUAUGGCUACAGUACCAACACCCGCACUCCACCCCAUCCCAAACACCUGCACGACCAGCGCCUGCAAGCACGGAAGAGCCAGCAUUUACCCCCAGCCGCAUAACUUUCAGAAUCCCCCGAAGUGCUUUCUGAUAUGGGUGGUGGCUUCCCUUUCAUCAUUAGUGACAGAAGGGAAACCAUCAGAAAUAUUGUAUUAAUAAAGAUAUCUUUCUGAGCCUAGUACUGAAAACAUCCAUCACAAAGAAAAUUAGAACAAAAAAUUGCAAUGCGCUAUAAAACAUUGCUCUUUUUGGGUCUGUGAGCUCAUUUUUCUUUUGAAUGGAUUCUGUUUCAUUUUUCUCAUCAUAUUGGAGUCAUUGCUAACUGAAGAGCCGCUAAAAACUUAC